AUGGAGGUCUCUGUCUG
rnacentral:piRNA from 1 species